GGACGAACGCUGGCGGCGUGCCUAACACAUGCAAGUCGAACGGGGUUACGAGAGCUUGCUCUUGUAACUUAGUGGCGAACGGGUGAGUAACGCGUGAGGAACCUGCCUUCCAGUGGGGGACAACAGUUGGAAACGACUGCUAAUACCGCAUAACAUAAUCGAACCGCAUGAUUUGAUUAUCAAAGCUUUAUGUGCUGGAAGAUGGCCUCGCGUCUGAUUAGCUAGUUGGUGGGGUAACGGCCCACCAAGGCGACGAUCAGUAGCCGGUCUGAGAGGAUGAACGGCCACAUUGGGACUGAGAUACGGCCCAGACUCCUACGGGAGGCAGCAGUGGGGAAUAUUGGGCAAGUGGGGGAAACCCUGACCCAGCAACGCCGCGUGAAGGAAGAAGGCCUUCGGGUUGUAAACUUCUUUACCAGGGACGAAGGACGUGACGGUACCUGGAGAAAAAGCAACGGCUAACUACGUG
rnacentral:rRNA from 1 species